CAGCUCUUGACAUGUCCCGUAUGGGUGGGGGAGACCUCAUCCUUCANUUCNNCUGGCGGGAACACAGGUGCUGCAUGGCUGUCGUCAGCUCGUGUCCUGAGAUGUUGGGUUAAGUCCCGCAACGAGCGCAACCCCCAUCUUCAGUUGCCAGCGAGUAGUGUCGGGCACUCUGAAGAAACUGCCGGUGACAAGCCGGAGGAAGGCGGGGAUGACGUCAAGUCCUCAUGGCCCUUAUGGGCUGGGCUACACACGUGCUACAAUGGCGGUGACAGAGGGAGGCGAGCGUGCGAGCGCAAGCCAAUCUCGAAAAGCCGUCUCAGUUCGGAUUGCUCUCUGCAACUCGGGAGCAUGAAGUCGGAAUCGCUAGUAAUCGCGGAUCAGCAUGCCGCGGUGAAUACGUUCCC
rnacentral:rRNA from 1 species